AUACUUACCUGGGUGGGGGCAAUACCACAGCCAAGAAGGUGGUUUCUCCAGGUUGAGGAUUUUUCAUUGCACACUUCGGUAGGGUUGACCCCUGUAAUUUCCCCAAAUGUGGGAAGCUCAUCUGCAAAUUAUGGUAGAAAUUAUGGAAAAUGUGUUUACUUUUUUU